rnacentral:tRNA from 1 species
GCAGAGGUAGCCAAGCUAGGCUAAAGGCGCAGAGUCGCUGAGCCUGUCGCGCAGGCGUUCGUGGGUUCGAAUCCCACCCUCUGCACCA